rfam:Salmo salar isolate Sally breed double haploid chromosome ssa20, whole genome shotgun sequence.
UGCAUGCAUGACUGUAAUUCACUUUGGAUUAAAGCGUCUGCUAAAUGGUUUAUA